UAGGGAAUCUUCCACAAUGGACGCAAGUCUGAUGGAGCAACGUCGCGUGAGUGAAGAAGGUUUUCGGAUCGUAAAGCUCUGUUGUUGGUGAAGAAGGAUAGAGGUAGUAACUGGCCUUUAUUUGACGGUAAUCAACCAGAAAGUCACGGCUAACUACGUGCCAGCAGCCGCGGUAAUACGUAGGUGGCAAGCGUUGUCCGGCUUUCUUGUGCGUAAAGCGAGCGCAGGCGGAAGAAUAAGUCUGAUGUGAAAGCCCUCGGCUUAACCGAGGAACUGCAUCGGAAACUGUUUUUCGUGAGUGCAGAAGAGGAGAGUAGAACUCCAUGUGGAGCGGUGGAAUGCGUAGAUAUAUGGAAAAACACCAGUGGCGAAGGCGACUCUCUGGUCUGCAACUGACGCAGAGGCUCGAAAGCAUGGGUAGCGAACAAG
rnacentral:rRNA from 1 species